GGAAGGGUGGCCGAGCGGCUGAAGGCAGCGGUUUGCUAAACCGUUAUGCGGGUUUUUAACUCGUAUCGAGGGUUCGAAUCCCUCCCCUUCCG
rnacentral:tRNA from 1 species